UUUAUGGAGAGUUUGAUCCUGGCUCAGAGUGAACGCUGGCGGCGUGCCUAAUACAUGCAAGUCGAACGAUGAAGCUUCUAGCUUGCUAGAAGUGGAUUAGUGGCGCACGGGUGAGUAAGGUAUAGUUAAUCUGCCCUACACAAGAGGACAACAGUUGGAAACGACUGCUAAUACUCUAUACUCCUGCUUAA
rnacentral:rRNA from 1 species